GACGAACGCUGGCGGCGUGCUUAACACAUGCAAGUCGAACGGUAAGGCCCUUCGGGGUACACGAGUGGCGAACGGGUGAGUAACACGUGGGUGAUCUGCCCUGCACUUCGGGAUAAGCCUGGGAAACUGGGUCUAAUACCGGAUAGGACUCCGGACUGCAUGGUCUGGGGUGGAGAGCUUUUGCGGUGUGGGAUGGGCCCGCGGCCUAUCAGCUUGUUGGUGGGGUGAUGGCCUACCAAGGCGACGACGGGUAGCCGGCCGGGGAGGGUGACCGGCCACACUGGGACUGAGAUACGGCCCAGACUCCUACGGGAGGCAGCAGUGGGGAAUAUUGCACAAUGGGCGCAAGCCUGAUGCAGCGACGCCGCGUGAGGGAUGACGGCCUUCGGGUUGUAAACCUCUUUCAGCAUCGACGAAGCGAAAGUGACGGUAGGUGCAGAAGAAGGACCGGCCAACUACGUGCCAGCCGCCGCAGUAA
rnacentral:rRNA from 1 species